UACGUAGGGACCGAGCGUUGUCCGGAAUCAUUGGGCGUAAAGAGCGUGUAGGCGGCCAACUAAGUCCUGCGUGAAAUCUCGGGGCUCAACCCCGAGCGGUCGUGGGAAACUGGUUGGCUAGAGUGCGGGAGAGGAGAGUGGAAUUCCUGGUGUAGCGGUGAAAUGCGCAGAUAUCAGGAAGAACACCCGUGGCGAAAGCGGCUCUCUGGAACGGUACUGACGCUGAGACGCGAAAGCGUGGGGAGCGAACAGG
rnacentral:rRNA from 1 species